rnacentral:tRNA from 1 species
UGGGUAAGGAGGGACUUGAACCCCCGACUUUACGCUUAUCAAGCGUAUACUCUAACCAGCUGAGUUACUUACCC